UACGUAGGGUGCGAGCGUUGUCCGGAAUUAUUGGGCGUAAAGAGCUUGUAGGCGGUUUGUCGCGUCUGCUGUGAAAUUCCAGGGCUUAACCCUGGGCUUGCAGUGGGUACGGGCAGACUAGAGUGUGGUAGGGGAGACUGGAAUUCCUGGUGUAGCGGUGAAAUGCGCAGAUAUCAGGAGGAACACCGGUGGCGAAGGCGGGUCUCUGGGCCGAUAUUGACGCUGAGGAGCGAAAGCGUGGGGAGCAAACAGG
rnacentral:rRNA from 1 species